rnacentral:rRNA from 1 species
CCUACGGGAGGCAGCAGUGGGGAAUAUUGGACAAUGGGGGCAACCCUGAUCCAGCCAUGCCGCGUGUGUGAAGAAGGCCCUCGGGUUGUAAAGCACUUUCAGUGAGGAAGAACGCCUGGUGGUUAAUACCCAUCAGGAAAGACAUCACUCACAGAAGAAGCACCGGCUAACUCCGUGCCAGCAGCCGCGGUAAUACGGAGGGUGCGAGCGUUAAUCGGAAUUACUGGGCGUAAAGCGCGCGUAGGUGGCUUGAUAAGCCGGUUGUGAAAGCCCCGGGCUCAACCUGGGAACGGCAUCCGGAACUGUCAAGCUAGAGUGCAGGAGAGGAAGGUAGAAUUCCCGGUGUAGCGGUGAAAUGAGUAGAGAUCGGGAGGAAUACCAGUGGCGAAGGCGGCCUUCUGGACUGACACUGACACUGAGGUGCGAAAGCGUGGGUAGCAAACAGGAUUAGAUACCCUAGUAGUC